rnacentral:tRNA from 1 species
GGGGAUGUAGCUUAAUGGUAUAGCACUUGCCCAUCACUUGCAAGGCCCUAGGUUCCAUCCCCA